CCUACGGGAGGCAGCAGUGAGGAAUAUUGGUCAAUGGACGAGAGUCUGAACCAGCCAAGCAGCGUGAAGGAUGACUGCCCUCUGGUUUGUAAACUUCUUUUAUAUGGGAGUAAGAUGUUCCGCGUGUGGAAUUUUGUCUGUACCAUAUGAAUAAGGGUCGGCUAACUCCGUGCCCGCAGCCGCGGUCAUACGGAGGAUCCGAGCGUUAUCCGGAUUUAUUGGUGUUAAAGGGAGCGUAGGUGGAUUGUUAAGUCAGUUGUGAAAGUUUUCGGCUCAACCGUAAAAUUGCAGUUGAAACUGGCUGUCUUGAGUACAGGAGAGGAGGGUGGAAUUCGUGGUGUAGCGGUGAAAUGCGUAGAUAUCACGAGGAACUCCGAUGGCGAAGGCAGCUCACUGGACUGCAACUGACACUGAGGCUCGAAAGCGUGGGUAGCAAACAGGAUUAGAUACCCGAGUAGUC
rnacentral:rRNA from 1 species